AACGAACGCUGGCGGCAUGCCUAACACAUGCAAGUCGAACGAUGCCUUCGGGCAUAGUGGCGCACGGGUGCGUAACGCGUGGGAAUCUGCCCUUGGCUUCGGAAUAACAGUUAGAAAUGACUGCUAAUACCGGAUGAUGUCCCCCUGAGAGAUCUUGGGGACCAAAGAUUUAUCGGCCAGGGAUGAGCCCGCGUAGGAUUAGGUAGUUGGUGGGGUAAAGGCCUACCAAGCCGACGAUCCUUAGCUGGUCUGAGAGGAUGAUCAGCCACACUGGGACUGAGACACGGCCCAGACUCCUACGGGAGGCAGCAGUGGGGAAUAUUGGACAAUGGGGGGAACCCUGAUCCAGCAAUGCCGCGUGAGUGAUGAAGGCCUGAGGGUUGUAAAGCUCUUUUACCAGGGAUGAUAAUGACAGUACCUGGAGAAUAAGCUCCGGCUAACUCCGUG
rnacentral:rRNA from 1 species